rnacentral:rRNA from 1 species
UAGGGAAUCUUCCACAAUGGACGCAAGUCUGAUGGAGCAACGCCGCGUGAGUGAAGAAGGUUUUCGGAUCGUAAAGCUCUGUUGUUGGUGAAGAAGGAUAGAGGUAGUAACUGGCCUUUAUUUGACGGUAAUCAACCAGAAAGUCACGGCUAACUACGUGCCAGCAGCCGCGGUAAUACGUAGGUGGCAAGCGUUGUCCGGAUUUAUUGGGCGUAAAGCGAGCGCAGGCGGAAGAAUAAGUCUGAUGUGAAAGCCCUCGGCUUAACCGAGGAACUGCAUCGGAAACCGUUUUUCUUGAGUGCAGAAGAGGAGAGUGGAAUUCCAUGUGUAGCGGUGGAAUGCGUAGAUAUAUGGAAGAACACCAGUGGCGAAGGCGACUCUCUGGUCUGCAACUGACGCUGAGGCUCGAAAGCAUGGGUAGCGAACAGG